GCGUUAAAUAUACCAACUAACCAAGAUAUUAAGUUGAAAGAAGUUAUGUGUUGAAAAACAGGAUGAACAGUGAUCCCUAUAUAUGGUUCUUUAAUGUUGGUUGCUGGUUACUAAAAUAAAUAAAAUACAAAAAGGUAUUAUACUCUUUACAACUUAAUUUUAUUAACUUUAUUAAAAACACUAACUGGGCUUAAUACAGACAAACUGGGCAU
rnacentral:lncRNA from 1 species